rnacentral:rRNA from 1 species
AUUGAACGCUGGCGGCAGGCCUAACACAUGCAAGUCGAACGAGCGGCGGACGGGUGAGUAAUGUCUGGGAAACUGCCUGAUGGAGGGGGAUAACUACUGGAAACGGUAGCUAAUACCGCAUACUAUCGGAUGUACCCAGAUGGGAUUAGCUAGUAGGUGGGGUAAAGGCGCACCUAGGCGACGAUCCCUAGCUGGUCUGAGAGGAUGACCAGCCCAACGGGGACUGAGACACGGUCCAGACUCCUACGGGAGUCAGCAGUGGGGAAAAUUGCACAAUGGUCGCAAGCCUGAUGCAGCCAUGCCGCGUGUAUGAAGAAGGCCUUAGGGUUGUAAAGUACGUUCAGCGGGUAGGCGUUACCCGCAGAAGAAGCACCGGCUAACUCCGUGCCAGCAGCCGCGGUAAUAC